GACAGAGGGUGCAAACGUUGUUCGGAAUUACUGGGCGUAAAGCGAGUGUAGGCGGUUUCCUAAGUCAGGUGUGAAAGCCCCGGGCUCAACCCGGGAAGUGCACUUGAAACUGGGAGGCUAGAGUAUCGGAGAGGUUGGUGGAAUUCUCGGUGUAGAGGUGAAAUUCGUAGAUAUCGAGAGGAACACCGGUGGCGAAGGCGGCCAACUGGACGAAUACUGACGCUGAGACUCGAAAGCUAGGGGAGCAAACAGG
rnacentral:rRNA from 1 species